GUUCAACUGACUAGUUCUAAGUAGGAGGAAACGCGCGUCCUGGAU
rnacentral:hammerhead_ribozyme from 1 species